rnacentral:rRNA from 1 species
AGGACGAACGCUGGCGGUGUGCUUCACACAUGCAAGUCGAACGGGGUAGCAAUACCCAGUGGCGGACGGGUGAGUAACACGUAGGAAUCUGCCUUGGAGUGGGGGGAUAACUGACCGAAAGGUUAGCUAAUACCGCAUACGUCGCAAGAUAAAAGGAGCAAUUCGCUCCAAGAUGAGCCUGCGUCCGAUUAGCUAGUUGGUAGGUAAAGCCUACCAAGGCUACGAUCGGUAGCUGGUCUGAGAGGAUGAUCAGCCACAAUGGAACUGAGACACGGUCCAUACUCCUACGGGAGGCAGCAGUGGGGAAUUUACGCAAUGGCGAAAGCCUGACGUAGCGACACCGCGUGAACGAAGAAGCCGUUUGGGGUGUAAAGUUCUGUCAGCGAGGGAACGAAAAAAGUAGACGGUACCUGACAGGAGGUAAGACAUCGGACUAAC